rnacentral:rRNA from 1 species
AUUGAACGCUGGCGGCAGGCCUAACACAUGCAAGUCGAGCGGAUGAAGGGAGCUUGCUCCUGGAUUCAGCGGCGGACGGGUGAGUAAUGCCUAGGAAUCUGCCUGGUAGUGGGGGAUAACGUCCGGAAACGGGCGCUAAUACCGCAUACGUCCUGAGGGAGAAAGUGGGGGAUCUUCGGACCUCACGCUAUCAGAUGAGCCUAGGUCGGAUUAGCUAGUUGGUGGGGUAAAGGCCUACCAAGGCGACGAUCCGUAACUGGUCUGAGAGGAUGAUCAGUCACACUGGAACUUGGACACGGUCCAGACUCCUACGGGAGGCAGCAGUGGGGAAUAUUGGACAAUGGGCGAAAGCCUGAUCCAGCCAUGCCGCGUGUGUGAAGAAGGUCUUCGGAUUGUAAAGCACUUUAAGUUGGGAGGAAGGGCAGUAAGUUAAUACCUUGCUGUUUUGACGUUACCAACAGAAUAAGCACCGGCUAACUUCGUG